GAAAGUCAAGUCAAGCUGUGUUUCCUCUUCCUCCGCUGCAAGAGUGCAGUUUGGAAAAUGAGAUGGUUCUUGGACGUGUGGUAUCUGUUCGGUUGCAGAUCGAACCACCCCGUUCCAUUAGAUCGCGAUCCUGCAGCCAUUAGCCAUUUGCAGGAGUUCUCGUUCCGAGUCCGGAUCUGCAACGUCCACCGACUCCGGCCUAGAUGUGUCCUCUUGCGAGUGUGUUUUGACAAACACGAAAAACAGUCCGUAUUUAAGGAAACAGAUUUUCUAACGAGAAACCAUAUUAAUUCAAAUUUUGAAGACACGCAAUAAAGUUGUUUUGUUUACGUUUCUUCCCCGGCAAAUAGUUCUAUCAGAAUCGACGGCUCAGAUUCCAAAUGGCCAGAUCAUCUUGGUGUUGAAAAUGCACCCUACUGGCGAGAUCGAGUUCAACAAAAUGAUAGCAUCCUCCUGCUCGCCGACUUAAUCGAGACCCUAAGCAAAAUACGAGCAGAGAAGAGAACCUCUCAAACUCCGUCAACCUCCUCACAGCUAGCGAAACGACCAAGAAUCGCUUCCCCAGAGAUAGUCUCGAGCCAGCAACCUUGGACAAGUAGCAAAUACUUUGACGAUAAGUACACCGAUUGGCGCUGUUCGACGACGACGACGACAGUCUGGAAACGUUUGAAAUCCGCUUCAAAUCCCCCGCCAUGGGAAGUGACGACCUCCCCCAAAUUGGUUCCAAAUCGAGGAACAUAGUGUGGUGAACCAGAUCAACCAACUGCCGGACACCGUCACACCGUUUGAAACAUCGACAACGACGGCCGGAUGGCCUUUUCCGACCACUACGUAAUGUGAUUUGAUCUAGAGCGGUUACAGCCCCAGUACCAAACGCAAUCCCAAUGUAGCCACGGGCGGUGGCGGUCGGAUGAUUCCGGGAACCAACAGCAAGAUUUACUUUGAUCUGGCAGUGUGCUCCCAACUCGAGCACUUCCAGCGCGAAGGUGGAGGUGCUAAAUCCAUGUCAUCUCAGUUGCUGAACUUUUUCAACCAGACCUACAAACGGUUCACGGGAUUCAAGCCGACGAAGAUCUCAAACUCUUUGUGUUAAAUCUUUUCAUAAUUCUUCAAUUUGCCAUUUUUUUGUAAAUAUACUACUGUUUCCGCUUUUUA